rnacentral:rRNA from 1 species
GGAUGAGUGGCGAACGGGUGAGUAACACGUGGGAAAUCUGCCUAGGAGUGGGGGAUAACAUUCGGAAACGGAUGCUAAUACCGCAUAUCUUCAUAGACCGCAUGGUCUAUGAAUGAAAGACGGCUUUGCUGUCGCUCUUAGAUGAUCCCGCGGCGUAUUAGUUAGUUGGUGGGGUAAAGGCCUACCAAGACAAUGAUACGUAGCCGACCUGAGAGGGUGAUCGGCCACACUGGGACUGAGACACGGCCCAGACUCCUACGGGAGGCAGCAGUAGGGAAUCUUCCACAAUGGGUGCAAACCUGAUGGAGCAAUGCCGCGUGAAUGAAGAAGGUCUUCGGAUCGUAAAGUUCUGUUAUUAGAGAAGAACAAGUCAAGGAGUAACUGUCUUGACUUUGACGGUACCUAACCAGAAAGUCACGGCUAACUACGUGCCAGCAGCCGCGGUAAUACGUAGGUGACGAGCGUUGUCCGGAAUUAUUGGGCGUAAAGGGAGCGCAGGCGGUUGGAAUAGUCUGAUGUGAAAGCCCACGGCUUAACCGUGGAAGGUCAUUGGAAACUGUCCAACUUGAAUGCAGAAGAGGUAAGUGGAAUUCCAUGUGUAGCGGUGAAAUGCGUAGAUAUAUGGAGGAACACCAGUGGCGAAGGCGACUUUCUGGUCUGUAAUUGACGCUGAGGCUCGAAAGCGUGGGUAGCGAACAGGAUUAGAUACCCUGGUAGUCCACGCCGUAAACGAUGAGUGCUAAGUGUUAGGGGGUUUCCGCCCCUUAGUGCUGGAGUUAACGCA